rnacentral:rRNA from 1 species
UCGAGCGGUAGAGAGAAGCUUGCUUCUCUUGAGAGCGGCGGACGGGUGAGUAAUGCCUAGGAAUCUGCCUGGUAGUGGGGGAUAACGUUCGGAAACGGACGCUAAUACCGCAUACGUCCUACGGGAGAAAGCAGGGGACCUUCGGGCCUUGCGCUAUCAGAUGAGCCUAGGUCGGAUUAGCUAGUUGGUGGGGUAAUGGCUCACCAAGGCGACGAUCCGUAACUGGUCUGAGAGGAUGAUCAGUCACACUGGAACUGAGACACGGUCCAGACUCCUACGGGAGGCAGCAGUGGGGAAUAUUGGACAAUGGGCGAAAGCCUGAUCCAGCCAUGCCGCGUGUGUGAAGAAGGUCUUCGGAUUGUAAAGCACUUUAAGUUGGGAGGAAGGGCAGUUACCUAAUACGUGAUUGUUUUGACGUUACCGACAGAAUAAGCACCGGCUAACUCUGUGCCAGCAGCCGCGGUAAUACAGAGGGUGCAAGCGUUAAUCGGAAUUACUGGGCGUAAAG